rnacentral:rRNA from 1 species
GCGGCGAGCGAACGGGGAGGAGCCCAGAGCCUGAAUCAGUGUGUGUGUUAGUGGAAGCGUCUGGAAAGGCGCGCGAUACAGGGUGACAGCCCCGUACACAAAAAUGCACAUACUGUGAGCUCGAUGAGUAGGGCGGGACACGUGGUAUCCUGUCUGAAUAUGGGGGGACCAUCCUCCAAGGCUAAAUACUCCUGACUGACCGAUAGUGAACCAGUACCGUGAGGGAAAGGCGAAAAGAACCCCGGCGAGGGGAGUGAAAAAGAACCUGAAACCGUGUACGUACAAGCAGUGGGAGCCUCUUUUAUGGGGUGACUGCGUACCUUUUGUAUAAUGGGUCAGCGACUUAUAUUCUGUAGCAAGGUUAACCGAAUAGGGGAGCCGAAGGGAAACCGAGUCUUAACUGGGCGUUAAGUUGCAGGGUAUAGACCCGAAACCCGGUGAUCUAGCCAUGGGCAGGUUGAAGGUUGGGUAACACUAACUGGAGGACCGAACCGACUAAUGUUGAAAAAUUAGCGGAUGACUUGUGGCUGGGGGUGAAAGGCCAAUCAAACCGGGAGAUAGCUGGUUCUCCCCGAAAGCUAUUUAGGUAGCGCCUCGUGAAUUCAUCUCCGGGGGUAGAGCACUGUUUCGGCAAGGGGGUCAUCCCGACUUACCAACCCGAUGCAAACUGCGAAUACCGGAGAAUGUUAUCACGGGAGACACACGGCGGGUGCUAACGUCCGUCGUGAAGAGGGAAACAACCCAGACCGCCAGCUAAGGUCCCAAAGUCAUGGUUAAGUGGGAAACGAUGUGGGAAGGCCCAGACAGCCAGGAUGUUGGCUUAGAAGCAGCCAUCAUUUAAAGAAAGCGUAAUAGCUCACUGGUCGAGUCGGCCUGCGCGGAAGAUGUAACGGGGCUAAACCAUG